AUGAACGCUGGCGGCGUGCCUAAUACAUGCAAGUCGAGCGAACAGACGAGGAGCUUGCUCCUCUGACGUUAGCGGCGGACGGGUGAGUAACACGUGGAUAACCUACCUAUAAGACUGGGAUAACUUCGGGAAACCGGAGCUAAUACCGGAUAAUAUAUUGAACCGCAUGGUUCAAUAGUGAAAGACGGUUUUGCUGUCACUUAUAGAUGGAUCCGCGCCGCAUUAGCUAGUUGGUAAGGUAACGGCUUACCAAGGCAACGAUGCGUAGCCGACCUGAGAGGGUGAUCGGCCACACUGGAACUGAGACACGGUCCAGACUCCUACGGGAGGCAGCAGUAGGGAAUCUUCCGCAAUGGGCGAAAGCCUGACGGAGUAACGCCGCGUGAGUGAUGAAGGUCUUCGGAUCGUAAAACUCUGUUAUUAGGGAAGAACAAAUGUGUAAGUAACUAUGCACGUCUUGACGGUACCUAAUCAGAAAGCCACGGCUAACUACGUG
rnacentral:rRNA from 1 species